UACGUAGGGCGCAAGCGUUGUCCGGAAUUAUUGGGCGUAAAGAGCUCGUAGGCGGCUUGUCACGUCGGGUGUGAAAGCCCUGGGCUUAACCUGGGAAUGGCGUUGAAGACUGUAGGUCUAGAGUUUGGCAGAGGGUCGUGGAAUUUCCGGUGUAGCGGUGAAAUGCGUAGAGAUCGGAAAGAACACCAGUGGCGAAGGCGGCGGCCUGGGCCAAAACUGACACUGAGGUGCGAAAGCGUGGGGAGCAAACAGG
rnacentral:rRNA from 1 species